GGAGGGAUGUCCGAGCGGUUUAUGGUGGCUGUCUUGAAAACAGCUGGGCGAUGAGCCCCGGGGGUUCGAAUCCCUCUCCCUCCGCCA
rnacentral:tRNA from 1 species